AUGAUUUACAGAAAGUGGAGCCACUCCAGCUGGAUGGAAAUUUGUGGACUGGCAUCAGGUCCUGCAGGAUCGGGGUUCUUUUUUUUUUUUCUUGUCUCUUCCCCAGCUCCCUGGCCUUUCUUCUGUCACUCUUCUUGCCAAGUCAGAACUAAGUUCUUCAGGAGAGGUGUUGUCUCCUCUGAUGGGUUCUGCGUGCUGCCACUACCAACCGAAGAGGUCAGGGUCUUCCAGUCUUCCCACAAUGUGUCCAAAUGCCUAUGCAACGGAAAGCAGAAGCUCCAGAAGCAGAACAAUUUCAUCAGCACCUUGCUGCACACACACAAAUGAUCUCUGUUUGGAUGCAGAUGUGGUGGCACUCUGUCUGUGCUUCCCUUCAGCUGAGCUGGCACCUCUGCAGAUCCCGGCUAUGCAGCAUGUGACAGUCUGUGCUCUGUUAGCUUCAGCUCAGCAGGGUCCUGCCCUGCUGUGCCAUGCACUACAGGUAGCGUGUCCAGCAUGA
rnacentral:lncRNA from 1 species